rnacentral:rRNA from 1 species
GACGAACGCUGGCGGCGUGCUUAACACAUGCAAGUCGAACGGAGCGCCUAUGACAGAGACUUCGGUCAAUGGAUUAGGUUGCUUAGUGGCGGACUGGUGAGUAACGCGUGAGGAACCUGCCUUUCAGAGGGGGACAACAGUUGGAAACGACUGCUAAUACCGCAUGAUACAUUUGGCGGCAUCGCUUGGAUGUCAAAGAUUUUAUCGCUGAAAGAUGGCCUCGCGUCUGAUUAGAUAGUUGGCGGGGUAACGGCCCACCAAGUCGACGAUCAGUAGCCGGACUGAGAGGUUGACCGGCACAUUGGGACUGAGAUACGGCCCAGACUCCUACGGGAGGCAGCAGUGGGGAAUAUUGGGCAAUGGACGCAAGUCUGACCCAGCAACGCCGCGUGAAGGAAGAAAGGCUUUCGGGUUGUAAACUUCUUUUAAGAGGGAACGAGAAGAAGAGGGUACCUCUUGAAUAAGCCACGGCUAACUACGUG